UACAGAGGGUGCAAGCGUUUAAUCGGAAUUACUGGGCGUAAAGCGUGCGCAGGCGGUUUUGUAAGCCAGAUGUGAAAGCCCCGGGCUUAACCUGGGAAUGGCAUUUGGGACUGCAAGGCUUGAGUGCGGCAGAGGAGACGUGGAAUUCCUGGUGUAGCAGUGAAAUGCGUAGAUAUCAGGAGGAAUACCGAUGGCGAAGGCAGGUCGUCUGGGC
rnacentral:rRNA from 1 species